AUGCAAGUCGAACGGUAACAGAGAAGCUUGCUUCUGCUGACGACCGGCGCACGGGUGCGUAACGCGUAUGCAACCUACCUCAUACAGGAGAAUAGCCCUUGGAAACGAGGAUUAAUACUCCAUAGUAUCAUUCUUUCGCAUGUUAGAAUGAUUAAAGAAUUUCGGUAUGAGAUGGGCAUGCGUCCCAUUAGCUUGUUGGUGAGGUAACGGCUCACCAAGGCAACGAUGGGUAGGGGGCCUGAGAGGGUGGUCCCCCACACUGGUACUGAGACACGGACCAGACUCCUACGGGAGGCAGCAGUGAGGAAUAUUAGUCAAUGGAGGAAACUCUGAACCAGCCAUGCCGCGUGAAGGAUGACGGCCCUAUGGGUUGUAAACUUCUUUUAUAUGGGAAGAAACUUAUCUACGUGUAGAUAACUGACGGUACCAUACGAAUAAGGAUCGGCUAACUCCGUGCCAGCAGCCGCGGUAAUACGGAGGAUCCAAGCGUUAUCCGGAUUCAUUGGGUUUAAAGGGUCCGUAGGCGGAUUUUUAAGUCAGUGGUGAAAGCCGACAGCUCAACUGUCGAACCGCCAUUGAUACUGGAAAUCUUGAGUACAAAUGAAGUAGGCGGAAUGAGUCAUGUAGCGGUGAAAUGCAUAGAUAUGACUCA
rnacentral:rRNA from 1 species